rnacentral:rRNA from 1 species
GAGGGGCAGCGGGGGAGUGGCAACACUUCCGCCGGCGACCGGCGCACGGGUGAGUAACACGUAUGAAACCUGCCCGCAGCAGGGGGAUAAGCGGAAGAAAUUCCGUCUAAUACCGCGUAACAACCGACGGGGGCAUCCCUGUUGGUUCAAAGGAGCGAUCCGGCUGCGGAUGGUCAUGCGGCGCAUUAGCUAGUUGGCGGGGCAACGGCCCACCAAGGCGACGAUGCGUAGGGGUUCUGAGAGGAAGGUCCCCCACACUGGUACUGAGACACGGACCAGACUCCUACGGGAGGCAGCAGUGAGGAAUAUUGGUCAAUGGCCGAGAGGCUGAACCAGCCAAGUCGCGUGAGGGAUGACGGCCCUACGGGUUGUAAACCUCUUUUGCCGGGGAGCAAAGAGCGGGACGCGUCCCGCCUCGAGAGUACCCGGAGAAAAAGCAUCGGCUAACUCCGUGCCAGCAGCCGCGGUAAUACGGAGGAUGCGAGCGUUAUCCGGAUUUAUUGGGUUUAAAGGGUGCGCAGGCGGAAGCGCAAGUCAGCGGUAAAAUUGAGAGGCUCAACCUCUUCCCGCCGUUGAAACUGCGUUUCUUGAGUGGGCGAGAAAGUACGCGGAAUGCGUGGUGUAACGGUGAAAUGCAUAGAUUUCAGGCAGAAUUCCGAUGGCGAAGGCAGGGUACCGGGCGCCCCAACGACCGUUCAUGCACGAAAGGGUGGGUAUCGAACAGGAUUAGAUACCCUGGUAGUCCACGCAGUAAACGAUGAAUACUCGCUGUCCGGGGAGAUUGGUCUCUGGGCGGCCAAGCGAAAGCGUUAAGUAUUCCACCUGGGGAGUACGCCGGCAACGGUGAAACUCAAAGGAAUUGACGGGGGCCCGCACAAGCGGAGGAACAUGUGGUUUAAUUCGAUGAUACGCGAGGAACCUUACCCGGGCUCAAACGACGGAUGAAUACUUUUGAAAGGAGGUAGUCCUUCGGGACAUCCGUCGAGGUGCUGCAUGGUUGUCGUCAGCUCGUGCCGUGAGGUGUCGGCUUAAGUCCCGCAACGAGCGCAACCCUUAUCCUUAGUAGCCAGCAGGGAAAGCUGGGCACUCUAGGGAGACUGCCAGGGAUAACCUGGAGGAAGGUGGGGAUGACGUCAAAUCAUCAUGCCCCUUAUGAUUUGGGCUACACACGUGCUACAAUGGCGUAAACAAAGGGAAGCGAAGUGGCGACAUGGAGCGAACCCCAAAAAUAACGUCUCAGUUCGGAUUGCAGGCUGCAACCCGCCUGCAUGAAGCCGGAAUCGCUAGUAAU